CCCCCCCACCCCCCGCCCGGGUGUUUGGCUCGGGCAGCGGGGCCAGGUUACUUUGCUGUCCUAUGGAGGACAGACUGAAAGCGGAAAGGCUGAAGCUGGAAGACAGGUGAGGAGGUCACUGAAAUAAACCAGACUCUCAGACACAGCCCAGUGGCCACAGAUGGCAGAAGGCAAAGAAGAUCCCUGGGGCUUCUAAACACUUCCCCAGAAACUGGCAGCAGGCAGUAACUCCGGCCAAGUCAGGGGCCAGCUUGACCAGACACUCAUCAAAGUGUGAGACUCCCCGCGUGGAGCUGAGGGACCCAGCUCUGUCCAAGAACCAUCAAGAACCAAAGGCGCUGGCUCCAAGUCAAGUUGAACAGGGAAAGCAAAACCCUUUCCUUUUC